AAAAUAAGUCAAAACAGUUUUGCAGCUGUCAUAUCUAUAAAAAGAUAAAUUGUGAAAAUAUUUUCAGUAAUUUCUCUCAAGAAUAUAAUAAUUUUAAUUUUGAAAACCAAUUUAACAUUGUUUUAAAUAAUUUUAUACUUCUGAAACAAUAAAUAAGACUAAAAAGAAAUGUCUAGUGAUGAAAAUAGUUAUGACUCCAAUAAUGAGGAUGGUCCGGAAGAGAAACGUUCCAAACAUUCUACAGGCUCACAUCACAAGAAAUCGAAAAAACACAAAAAACAUAAGAAAUCUAAUAAAUCUGACAAAUCGCAUAAAAAACAUAAAAAAUCUAAGAAGAGACAUCGCCACCAUUCCCAUUCAUCGUCGGAUUCGGCUUCGGAGGAUGAGUCAACAAUGGUGGAGAAACGAAAGAGCGGUGCUAUUAAUGAGAAAUUUACGGAAAUAAUGAAAAAAGCUAAUAAAGAUAAAAAUUGCGCUUUAAGGGUGGAACAUGAUGUUAAAACAAAUAAAUUUUUGAUAACAAAACCAAACAUACAGACCGAUCCGUGCAGUUUGGUGGAGGAAAUUACGAAGACAAUACAGACAAAGGUGUUACCAGUUAUGGAAGUUGUGUCAUCCGGUAGCGAAAGUGAUGUACCUGUUGAUGUAGCAAGUCCUGAUUUAGCCAUAAUAGAAGAUGAUCUCAAUUUAGAUGAAUUGAUGAAGCAAAAAGCCCUUUUACAAGCUCGCUUAGGUGCUUAUAUGUCAGACACUGAAGGUGAUGGCAGUCGCUCAGGCUCAUUGGCUAAACGUCCCUUGCCAGAGAUUGACUUAAACUCAAAGAAGUUGCCUUCUCUGCCCAAUACUGGUAUUGAUAAGAACAAAAAGAUUGAACAAAAAAUUCCAUCAUCAACAUCAUCUGCAACUAGUAAAAUUAAUUUAAAUAAUAUUUCUAAAGAAAAAGUUACAAAUGAAAACGAUGUUAUAUUAUUGGAUGAUUCUAGCGGUGGUAAUGACACACCGGUGGAGCAACAUUCGGCCAGUAGGGAGCGAUCACGUAAGGUAAGACAUUCAAGUGAACAUGAUCGUAGGUCUGGUAGAGGACGUAAAUCAGUGACACCACAACCAACACACACGGUUAAAGAGAAAAGCGAUAGACGCUCUUCAAGAGAUGUUCGAGAUCAUCAUCAAAGGCUCUCACAGUCGGAGCGUUAUGCACGCAAUAAUCGAAGUCGAAGCCGUUCUACAGGCCGCCGAGUAGAUUCACACGAUAGACGCCAUCAUGUAGAGGGUGAUGAAGAUCGUAAUCGUCAGCGUCAUAGAGAACAUUAUGAUCAAAAUCGUCAAAAAGAAGAUCUACGACAAGAAAUUAAUAGAGAUAAAUUGCGCGAACGUGAUACCAGCCGUGAUCGUGAUAAUAAAGGACGUGAUGAGAGAACAAAUCGUGCUGUUGAACGUAGUGGUGGUCCUGCGAACAACCGUGGUCAGGAUAGGGGACGUGAUAGGGAUCGCAAUAGAGAGCGAGAAAGAUGGAUGCGUGAGAGAUCACAUAGUCGUAGUAAAGCCGAAUCAGAUCGCAAACGUGAACGAGAAAGAGAGCGUCAACGAUCUGGUCGCGAUCGUUCUGAACGUAACGACACUAAGGAUCGCGAUCGUUAUCGUGGUUCUCUCAGUGAGGGACAAAAGGCUCAACAGAAGGACUCCAGUAGCGAUGAGGAGGUUAAUAUAAAUAUAAACAUUGAUGAAGACGACGAUGACGAAGAGAAAAUCAUUGAAAUGAGACGCAAACAACGUGAGGAAUUGUUAAAGAAAUUGGCCGGAUCAAAACAAAUUGAUGCACCAAAACCGCCAGCACCAUCUGCCCAGUCCAGCUCAUCAUCUUCCUCAGCCACCAACUCUAAUAAUGGUAGUGAUAAACGUAAAAAUUCAUAUAGUCCGGAGAAAAAACUUUCUCCAACAAAACAACGUAGAUCUCGUACACGGUCACCGUUGACAUCGGAAUCGUCGUCUCGUCACCCCACAGAACAAAAUGAUGUUACGCCACCAGACUCUAAAGAAGAUCAAGAAAAUAAUAACAAAUCUAUCAAUAAUAAGGAAAAAGAAAAAAGACCAGAAUGGGAUAUGUUUGCAGAUCAAGAUGUUGAUUCCAAUUUCGAUUCUCCAAGUACCAUAGUACAAAAUAAAAAUAUGGCUGAAAAUCCAGCUCUUACUGAUAAUUGGGAUGAUGCCGAAGGUUAUUAUCGAGUACGCAUUGGAGAAGUCUUAGAUACUCGUUAUGUUGUUUGCGGCUAUACGGGUCAAGGUGUUUUCAGCAAUGUUAUACGAGCACGUGAUCAAGCAAGAGGAAAUGCAAACGUAGCGGUUAAAAUUAUACGUAAUAAUGAAAUCAUGCAUAAGACUGGCUUGCGUGAAUUAGAAAUAUUAAAGAAACUUAACGAUGCCGAUCCGGAUGAUCGUUUUCACUGUUUGCGCUUAUAUAGACACUUCUUCCAUAAACAGCAUUUGUGUAUGGUGUUUGAACCAUUGGCAAUGAAUUUACGUGAAGUUCUUAAGAAAUAUGGCAAAAAUGUUGGCCUACACAUUAAAGCUGUGCGCAGUUAUACACAACAAUUGUUCUUAGCUUUAAAGCUUUUAAAGAAAACUGGUAUAUUACAUGCUGACAUAAAACCCGACAAUAUUUUAGUUAACGAAAAUAACUUAAUCUUAAAGUUGUGUGAUUUUGGUUCAGCCUCCACCAUAAAUGAUAACGAAAUCACACCCUAUUUAAUAUCAAGAUUUUAUCGUGCGCCCGAAAUUAUUUUGGGCAUACCUUAUGAUUAUGGUAUUGAUAUGUGGUCGGCGGGAUGUACUAUUUAUGAAUUGUACACAGGCAAAAUACUCUUUAGUGGCAAAAGUAAUAAUCAAAUGUUGAAAUAUUUUAUGGAUUUGAAAGGUAAAAUUCCUAAUCGCAUAAUACGUAAAGGACAAUUUAAAGAUCAGCAUUUUGAUCAAAGUUGUAAUUUCCUGUAUCAUGAAAUCGAUAAAGUUACAGAAAGGGAAAAAAUUGUUGUAAUGCCGGUCAUCAAAGCUUCACGAAACUUACAACAAGAAUUAAUAGCCGACCAAAAUCUACCCGAUGAUCAGCAUCGUAAAGUGACACAACUAAAAGAUUUACUGGAUAAUAUGUUUGCUCUGGAUCCCUCUAAACGUAUUUCAUUGAAUCAGGCUCUAACACAUCCUUUCAUACAGGAAAAGAUGUAAACUCACAACAGCAAAUUCAUUACCCACCAACAUUUGGCCUUUAACAAUGGAAAAUGGCUUAAAAUACAAAGACAGACAAGAACUUGGUUAAACAAAGUUAAAUAAUGGAGUCUCAAAAAUUAAGAUGAUGCUAUUUCACCAUCAGCAGAGGAUAGAACUCUCUUCCAAACUAAACAUAAAAAGUUUACACAAAUAAAAUUUUUGAGAAAGAGUACAACUCUGAAUUUUGAUUGCCGUUAUUAAUGUGUGUGUGUGAGACUUUUCAAAGAGAUUUUUGUUAGAAAAGUGUUUUAAAAGUAAUUUGGUAUAGAAAUGUCGUGAUAAAUUGGAGAAAUCUUGAUGUUUGACCAGGCAUGUUACAGAGUAUGUCAUAUAUAAAUGUAACAGGUUUGAAUUAAAUUAUUAUUGAUUUAUUUAAAAAAUUAUUUUGGAUAAAAACACAUUUAUGCGUAAUAAUAUAUUACUGCAAAUUAUAUACUUAUGAAAAAACUACGGGCAAAACAAUUAUAACAAAAUUUUGCACCAGUCACCUUAAACGCAAACUGCCCUAUCGAACAUUUUGAAAAUUUUACAGGAGAUCUAUUUUUUCAUUAAUUAACAAAAUUUUUAAAGGUACAACUUCUCAGUCUAACAGGGAAGUAUUGAGGGUAUUUCUGAUCAUUUAGUUGCGACCUCGGACUUCGAAGAUAUACCAUCAAUAAUAGUGUUUUCUAGUAGGGAUGGGUGGAUUUGGUCCGCAAAGAUCGAAAAAAGUAGAAGCAAUUUAAUUUCCUUUCAAUGCUUUACGAUUGUGUGUAUUCUGUAUUACGAUCGUAGCUACGUUUUUGUAAAUUGUUGUUUAUGUGGCGAAGAGUCGAAUUGAAAAGCACCCAGCAAAAAAAGACGUGCAAAAAAGUAGUAAAUGCAUG